AGUCACAACUCAUUUAAUGACAGUCCCUCUCUCCAGGCUGUCUGUGUGUCUGGCUGCCUAGGGAAUGCUGGAGAUUUGAUACAUUAAUUUAGAUUCUUCCUGGUUGCUAAGGGAAAAAGAGACCACGUGUCCCUCCAAGAGUUCAGUUACCCCUGCAGAGCAGCACAGCUGGACUUGCAUUUAAGGGUGGUAUUUUUUUCAUUAGGAGGGAGGUUAGCAAUUGCUGACCAGAGAGCAAAUAACACUAAACUAUGAAUACCUCACAUUUCUCUGCCCUUCACAGAUAAGGUGUUUUGGAAUAACGUGCCUUCAAGAGUUUAGACUCAUAAAAUGGGCCCAGAGCUGCUGAAAUGACUUGCAGUCCCAGAGCUGCUAGAGUGAAUUAGCAGUUGGCAAGGUGUCCCCUGAACUAAAGAAGUUGUAUAUUGGGCCAGAAGCAGACCUGGAAGAAGCUGAUGACAAAGGCCUGCCAACAGUGCUGAGACUUGUUUGCCAUGUAGACAAGAUUGGCUUCAAAGUGAGCAGAUCCUGUGUAUUUGGAUUGAUUGCUUGGUUUUAAGGAAGGAAGAGUGCUAUUUUAUUCUUUUAAUUGAAGGUUCGUGAGCAAAUGGACAAGCUUCAGUCCUUGAAACUGUG
rnacentral:lncRNA from 1 species